GUUCUCAUUCCCAUUCACUUCAAUCUCUCAUCUGUCCCUGGAAGCUAAGCAGGGCUGGGCCUGGUUAGUACUUGGAUGGGAAACCGAUGGUGAGCAGUGAGGAGUUCAGACCU
rnacentral:rRNA from 1 species